UACGUAGGGGGCAAGCGUUGUCCGGAUUCAUUGGGCGUAAAGAGCGUGUAGGCGGCCAGGUAGGUCGGUUGUGAAAACUGGAGGCUCAACCUUCAGAGGUCGACCGAAACCAUCUGGCUAGAGUCCGGAAGAGGCGAGUGGAAUUCCUGGUGUAGCGGUGAAAUGCGCAGAUAUCGGGAAGAACACCAGUGGCGAAAGCGCUCUACUGGGCCAUAACUGACACUGAGGGACGAAAGCUAGGGGAGCGAAAGGG
rnacentral:rRNA from 1 species